GGAUUGGGACGAAGGACCGUUAGCGUACCCGAAGAAGCUAAUCAUGCAGAGAUCUCAUCGCUCUUUUGUGAAGUUUUUCCAAAACUGAGAGAAUUAGAUGGGGCUUGGAUGAUAUACAAAGCAGCUGGUGGAUCUGGCCAACGUUCACUGACAGUGGUGGCACCUGAUGCAGAGGGUUACACUGGUUUAUAUAUAAUUAAGGCAGCAGGAGGAAAGGCAUGCCUCUACAUAAUGCCAAUUCAGCAUAAAUGAGAUACUUCACCAUUACCAAUGUCAGCCAAAGAAUUUGAAAGGAUGCCUAAAGCCAAGUGCAUUACCUGUCAGGUUUAUGUGCCAAUACAGCUGCUAGCUUUUCAUGUGGCCAAAUGUGAGCAAAAUAGCAUCCCUGAUUGUGAGGUAAGAUGUACUGAAAACACCCUCACUGCUUGUUUAAAUCUUAAAUAAUUUUACAAUAAUUUAUUUGACACAUUUUUUACAGAUAAUCUCUGGUGAUGAGUCCAGUUUGGAAUCCAACAUUGAUGAUUUUG